GAAAUGCGAUAAGUAAUGUGAAUUGCAGAAUUCAGUGAAUCAUCGAAUCUUUGAACGCACAUUGCGCCCCUUGGUAUUCCGGGGGGCAUGCCUGUUCGAGCGUCAUUACAACUCUCAAGCUCUGCUUGGUAUUGGGUAUCACCUUUGGUGGUGUGCCCCAAAAUCAGUGGCGGUGCCAUCUGGCUCUAAGCGUAGUAGAAUUUCCACAACGUUCACGAGUCCGGCGAGGCCUUCUGCCGCCAAAAACACCAUUUUUACCAAGGUUGACCUCGGAUCAGGUAGGGAUACCCGCUGAACUUAA
rnacentral:misc_RNA from 1 species